rnacentral:rRNA from 1 species
AACGAACGCUGGCGGCAUGCCUAACACAUGCCAGUCGAACGAGACCUUCGGGUCUAGUGGCGCACGGGUGCGUAACGCGUGGGAACCUGCCCUUAGGUUCGGAAUAACUCCCCGAAAGGGGUGCUAAUACCGGAUAAUGUCUUCGGACCAAAGAUUUAUCGCCUUUGGAUGGGCCCGCGUUGGAUUAGCUAGUUGGUAGGGUAAAAGCCUACCAAGGCGACGAUCCAUAGCUGGUCUGAGAGGAUGAUCAGCCACACUGGGACUGAGACACGGCCCAGACUCCUACGGGAGGCAGCAGUGGGGAAUAUUGGACAAUAGGCGAAAGCCUGAUCCAGCAAUGCCGCGUGAGUGAUGAAGGCCUUAGGGUUGUAAAGCUCUUUUACCCGGGAUGAUAAUGACAGUACCGGGAGAAUAAGCUCCGGCUAACUCCGUG